CUCAACCAAGAAAAUACACACAGACAACACGACAAUGGAACUGUUCAUGCCUGAUCUUCAGCCAUUGAAGGCCAAAGGUAUUCAUGAGGACGUGAAAGGCGCUAGUGAAAAAUUUUAACCCUCGAAGCCAACCAAGAAUAAAACUGUGAUUGUUCCUCUUAAUUCAUACAUGGUUACAGAUAUUCGUGAAGAUUUGAAAGAUAAUCGAAAGAAGGUCGGGCCUCCAGAUUUGUUGAACGGUAAAGAUAUUUAUGAGGAGGAGGUGAAACACAUCCACAAAAAGAUUGAGCCGUUAAGUCCAAUUAAGAAGACAGGUGAUCCUCUGCAAUUCCUAUACCAGCGCAUGUAUCUCUAGACCUAUAAAAUGUCAAAGAUAUUGAUGAUAGAAUGGUAAAAGAAGCUUGCGAAGAACUUGAGUCCUUAAAUGUAACCAUGAACAUCAAAGAUUUUUCUGUCCAGAAGGUGCAAAGCACUCAUAAAAAGCUUGCACCACUCAAUGAUGGAGAGGAUAGAAAAAACAAAUGAGAAUGAGAGGAGAAUAUUGAAGACUAAUCAAGAAGAAUAGGGUAUAAAAUUGCAUUGAUCUUCUCAAGAGGCUGAAUAUAUAGGUUAGAAUUUAUUUUGUGUAUUACAUUUAUGCUCUGUAACCUAUCUUAUUUAUACAUAAAUAUACAGCUUGUGUAUAUCUAUCAGUAAUCACAAAUUCUCCUCCUAUAUGUUUAGAG